AUUGAGCGCUGGCGGCAUGCUUUACACAUGCAAGUCGAACGGCAGCGCGGGCUUCGGCCUGGCGGCGAGUGGCGAACGGGUGAGUAAUGCAUCGGAACGUGCCCAGUAGUGGGGGAUAGCCCGGCGAAAGCCGGAUUAAUACCGCAUACGACCUGAGGGUGAAAGCGGGGGACCGAAAGGCCUCGCGCUAUUGGAGCGGCCGAUGUCGGAUUAGCUAGUUGGUGGGGUAAAGGCUUACCAAGGCGACGAUCCGUAGCUGGUCUGAGAGGACGACCAGCCACACUGGGACUGAGACACGGCCCAGACUCCUACGGGAGGCAGCAGUGGGGAAUUUUGGACAAUGGGGGCAACCCUGAUCCAGCCAUGCCGCGUGCGAGAAGAAGGCCUUCGGGUUGUAAACCGCUUUUGUUCGGGAAGAAAUCCUCUGGGCUAAUACCCCGGGGGGAUGACGGUACCGGAAGAAUAAGCACCGGCUAACUACGUG
rnacentral:rRNA from 1 species